rnacentral:rRNA from 1 species
GACGAACUGUCCUAACGUUGUUCGGAAUCACUGGGCGUAAAGGGCGCGUAGGCGGCUUACAAAGUCAGGGGUGAAAUCUUGCGGCUUAACCGUAAUCAGCCUCUGAUACUGGUAGGCUCGAGGGAGGUAGGGGUAUGUGGAACUUCUGGUGGAGCGGUGAAAUGCGUUGAUAUCAGAAGGAACGCCGGUGGCGAAAGCGACGUACUGGACCUCUUCUGACGCUGAGGCGCGAAAGCUAGGGGAGCAAACGGG